rnacentral:rRNA from 1 species
AGAGUUUGAUCAUGGCUCAGAUUGAACGCUGGCGGCAUGCUUUACACAUGCAAGUCGAGCGGCAGCGCGGGGGCAACCCUGGCGGCGAGCGGCGAACGGGUGAGUAAUACAUCGGAACGUAUCCCGUAGAGGGGGAUAGCCCGGCGAAAGCCGGAUUAAUACCGCAUAUGCUCUACGGAGGAAAGUGGGGGACUCGCAAGGGCCUCACGCUAUGGGAGCGGCCGAUGGCCGAUUAGCUAGUUGGUGGGGUAAAGGCCUACCAAGGCGACGAUCGGUAGCUGGUCUGAGAGGAUGAUCAGCCACACUGGGACUGAGACACGGCCCAGACUCCUACGGGAGGCAGCAGUGGGGAAUUUUGGACAAUGGGGGAAACCCUGAUCCAGCCAUGCCGCGUGAGUGAAGAAGGCCUUCGGGUUGUAAAGCUCUUUUGGUCGGGAAGAAAGGGUUUCCUCGAAUAGAGGGGAUCUAUGACGGUACCGGCAGAAUAAGCACCGGCUAACUACGUGCCAGCAGCCGCGGUAAUACGUAGGGUGCGAGCGUUAAUCGGAAUUACUGGGCGUAAAGAGUGCGUAGGCGGUUCUCCAAGUCCGUUGUGAAAGCCCCGGGCUCAACCUGGGAAUGGCAGUGGAAACUAGGGGACUUGAAUCUGGCAGAGGGGGGUGGAAUGCCGCGUGUAGCAGUGAAAUGCGUAGAGAUGCGGCGGAACACCGAUGGCGAAGGCAGCCCCCUGGGCUGAGAUUGACGCUCAGGCACGAAAGCGUGGGGAGCAAACAGGAUUAGAUACCCUAGUAGUCC